AAACUAGAACAUGUAUCUUCAGAGAUUUUAUUCCUGCCUUCCUGCAGACAUCUGUAUUGCUCGUAUGCUCUUCUACUAACAAUAAGAAGGGCCCCAAAAAGCCAGCUUGCUACAGCAGGAGGUACAUGAAACAUCAGGAAGACUAUUCCUGGUUCUAUGCAAAGUGUCUACAGCCUCAUGGAUUAAAGGCAAGAAAUGAGAAGGAGGGAAAAGUGCACAUAUACAAUGGAAGAGAGAAGCUAGGGACAGGAGAUGGAGAAAGUAUUUCUUCAAGGAAAAUAACCCUGUUUUCUUUAUACUGUUAUACUUGAAAAUGUAUAUGAAUAGACACACCAUUAAAUAUACAACCUUUACUAAAGUGAGA